rnacentral:pre_miRNA from 14 species
UAGCAGGAAAACACGCCGGUCACCCGCAGGGACGCGGUCUGGCAGGAAAUAAUUUGGCAUUAGAUUCAAAUGUUAACUGUAAGACUGUGUCUUUGAGGGCGAUCCUCACCAUCCACGUUC